UACGGGGGGGGCAAGCGUUGUUCGGAAUUACUGGGCGUAAAGGGCUCGUAGGCGGCCAACUAAGUCGGACGUGAAAUCCCUCGGCUUAACCGGGGAACUGCAUUUGUGACUGCACGGCUAGAGUGUGUCAGAGGGGGUAGAAUUCCACGUGUAGCAGUGAAAUGCGUAGAUAUGUGGAGGAAUACCGAUGGCGAAGGCAGCCCCCUGGGAUAACACUGACGCUCAUGCACGAAAGCGUGGGGAGCAAACAGG
rnacentral:rRNA from 1 species